GAUGAACGCUGGCGGCGUGCCUAAUACAUGCAAGUCGAGCGAACGGACGAGAAGCUUGCUUCUCUGAUGUUAGCGGCGGACGGGUGAGUAACACGUGGAUAACCUACCUAUAAGACUGGGAUAACUUCGGGAAACCGGAGCUAAUACCGGAUAAUAUUUUGAACCGCAUGGUUCAAAAGUGAAAGACGGUCUUGCUGUCACUUAUAGAUGGAUCCGCGCUGCAUUAGCUAGUUGGUAAGGUAACGGCUUACCAAGGCAACGAUGCAUAGCCGACCUGAGAGGGUGAUCGGCCACACUGGAACUGAGACACGGUCCAGACUCCUACGGGAGGCAGCAGUAGGGAAUCUUCCGCAAUGGGCAAAAGCCUGACGGAGCAACGCCGCGUGAGUGAUGAAGGUCUUCGGAUCGUAAAACUCUGUUAUUAGGGAAGAACAUAUGUGUAAGUAACUGUGCACAUCUUGACGGUACCUAAUCAGAAAGCCACGGCUAACUACGUG
rnacentral:rRNA from 1 species